UGCCUCAAAAUAAAAAAUAAUAAAGGGCUAGGCAUGUAGCAUAGUGUGAAAGCUCUGGAUUCAGUCAUCUAUACUACAAAAAAUUUUUUUCUGUGUGUGUGUGAGUGUCUGGAAUUCCCUGAUAGCUCUUUCUUCAACAGACUGCCCAUUUUUUUUUUUUUCUUUGUACCAGGGAUCGAAUUCGUGUCCUUGAGCUUGAGCAGCAGGCAGUGAAACUACUGAGCCAAAUCCCCGGCCCCUAGACUGCCCAUUUUGGGCAGAUAGCAACAGUUAUAUCUUCAGCAUCAGCAUUGUUGCCUUGUGUUGAGAACAUGGUCUGGGGUCGGACCAGAAUCUCCACAUCUAACAUUGUUUCAGAGGAUUCCCACACUGUUCAUUCAAGGACCACACUUUCUGAGCUGCUUCUUCAGGGAAAACGUCCUUGUGGAUUGAAUCAUGAUGGCUGCAGUUAUCCAGAAGAGUCACACUUUGAAAUCUGGAGAAACUGA
rnacentral:lncRNA from 1 species